CUCCUUCCCUCCCUCCCCUCCCCUCCCCCGGCCCCACAGGAGCAGACGUUUCGUUCCACAAUGUGCUAAUGACUUGCACUUGAUUAGAACUGGCCCGGGGUGGUCGGCGGCGGCGCCCUGGAAAUUCCGGGCGAAGGCGAGGGGGAAAGAUGGCGUCGGUUGGCGGUCGUCCGGAACGAGGGACGGGCGCUCGCCGGCCUCGCCAGGACGCCCCGGAUCGCCUUUGGGAUUUGGAGGGAUGACCUGGUGUUUGGCGGGGAAAGGCAGGCCAGUGUUACCAGGUCAGCGGAGAAGCUUCAUAGAACGAGGAUAGAAAUUAUACAGUGUUGCCAGAAUUUUUCGAGGGUAGGGCAUAUCUCUCUCUCUUUUACGACGAAUUGUUUUAGGAAUAUAUGUUUUUGAGAUAUUUUUCUAAUGCUGUAUGUUCCCAGUUAUGAAUUUAUGUGUAUAUUAUUUUUAUUAAGAAUGAAAUAAACAGUGAAAUGAU